rnacentral:rRNA from 1 species
UCGGCCUUUAUAUCCAGGGCUACACACGUGCUACAAUGGGUCGUACAAAGGGUCGCCACUCCGCGAGGAGGAGCUAAUCCCAAAAAGCGGCUCUCAGUUCGGAUCGGAGUCUGCAACUCGACUCCCGGUGAAGUUGGAAUCGCUACGUAAUCGUGGAUCAGCAUGCCACGGUGAAUACGUUCCCGGGCCUU